rnacentral:rRNA from 1 species
AGGACCGCCGUAAUGAUUAAUAGGGACAGUCGGGGGCAUCAGUAUUCAAUUGUCAGAGGUGAAAUUCUUGGAUUUAUUGAAGACUAACUACUGCGAAAGCAUUUGCCAAGGAUGUUUUCAUUAAUCAGGAACGAAAGUUAGGGGAUCGAAGACGAUCAGAUACCGUCGUAGUCUUAACCAUAAACUAUGCCGACUAGGGAUCGGACAAUGUUAUUUUUUGACGCGUUCGGCACCUUACGAGAAAUCAAAGUGCUUGGGCUCCAGGGGGAGUAUGGUCGCAAGGCUGAAACUUAAAGAAAUUGACGGAAGGGCACCACCAGGGGUGGAGCCUGCGGCUUAAUUUGACUCAACACGGGGAAACUCACCAGGUCCAGACACAAUGAGGAUUGACAGAUUGAGAGCUCUUUCUUGAUUUCGUGGGUGGUGGUGCAUGGCCGUUCUUAGUUGGUGGAGUGAUUCGUCUGCUUAAUUGCGAUAACGAACGAGACCUUAACCUGCUAAAUAGACCGUAUUGCUUUGGCAGUACGCCGUCUUCUUAGAGGGACUAUCGGCUCAAGCCGAUGGAAGUUUGAGGCAAUAACAGGUCUGUGAUGCCCUUAGAUGCUCUGGGCCGCACGCGCGCUGCACUGACGGAGCCAGCGAGUACUCCCUUGGCCGGAAGGCCCGGGUAAUCUUGUUAAACUCCGUCGUGCUGGGGAUAGGGCA